rnacentral:misc_RNA from 1 species
GAAAUGCGAUACUUGGUGUGAAUUGCAGAAUCCCGUGAACCAUCGAGUCUUUGAACGCAAGUUGCGCCCGAAGCCAUUCAUCCCCCACGCGGCGUCGCUCCAUCAGGCUUGCGCCCAUUGUGAAAAAUUCUCGACUGCUGCCUCCCGUAGGAGU